rnacentral:rRNA from 1 species
UUUUGAACGUAAACUGCUUGAUUCAGACGCCGGGGGACUACGAGAGAAAUCCUUAAAAUCCAAAGGGCUUGGCGGUAUCCGAGACUCUUCAGGGGAACUUGUCUCCGAAUCGAUGAUCCACGUAGGACCUUACCCCGCCUAGCAAAUUACCGCUUGCAUACAGUCGUUGUUAGUCUUCGUUUAAAGACCAUAAAAGAAGGCAAGAAAAAUUCUUAUUAUUUUCUGUGUCAGAUCAGUGUACAGUUUAUGGCGGGGGGGAGGUGAGUUACAAUUAGUAAUUAUAAUUUACAGAAGCAAGAGGGAAGGCUGUUGUUGAAGGUGGACUUGAAAGUAAAGACUUACAUUUAUAAAGAUAGCUUGAACAUAGUUAGGAUGUGU